rnacentral:SRP_RNA from 1 species
CACAUGACAACCGCAAUCGGCGGCGCGGACAUGCCCGUCGUCAUCACCGUCCUCAACUCGUACUCUGGGUGGGCGCUCUGCGCCGAGGGAUUCGUCCUCUCCAACCCCCUCCUCACGAUUGUCGGGGCCCUCAUCGGGUCCAGC